AGGAGAUGAAGAUCAGUUGCAAGUCCAAAUUUUUCCUUCUAAUUUAUAAUUUUUUUCAAGUGUGAUAUUUGAAGAAUAAUGUGGUCAAAUAAAAGAAUUAAACAAUAAAAGUCAUUAGAGCACUUGCAAGUGCCAAAUCAGAUUUUAGAUCGCAUAUCUUGAACAACUGGCCAUCUGAAGUAUCAUAUUUAUGCUGACAUAAGUGGCUUAUGUGACAUAUGAGGCCACUACUGCCUAAACAACUUAAGAGUAAUCAAACACAAUGUCCUUAUAAUUUUCUUUUUAAUUUAUCAUAUUAAAUUAGUUUUGUGAGUUCCAUUAUAAUUUGUUCUGUGGGUGAAUGCAUUAAAUGGGUUGAGUUGGGUUUGAUUAACUUAAUUUGUGUGGUAGCUGUGGGCUCCAUUUGCUACAUCAGUGCUUAGUAUAGCAUUAAAAAGGGAAUGUCAGAUUUCAUCCAAGUUUUGAGUCAACAUUACUUGUAUGUGUGAUUGAAAGAUAUUAAUUGUUCAACUUUUCAUUGUUCAAGAACUUUGAUUGUACUGAAUUAUUUUUGGGGACUAAUACAAAAGUUUGAAAAAAAAUUUGGGUUACACUGGUCAAAAUGUAUUGUGGGGUGAAGGAAAAGGUAAUAAAGGAGAAAGAGAGGGAAAGAAAUCAAGGGGGUAAUGUGGCAUGUGGAUUAGAGAAAUUGUCUGGUUCUGAACUAUAACUUAUAAUGGUGUUCACACAAACUUCGUGUUAGGUUCACAUAAUGAGAAUCAAUAACAUUUUUAUAGGAAAAAUUCAAAUUAUAUUUGGUUCACAUUUGAGAUAGUUUUGAUGAUAUUACUAUUGAAAUCACGCCAAAACUUUAGGGUUAAUUAGAAACGGUGCUCAUGUUUUAAUUUGAACUUUUGCAUACUUGCACAUCCUAAGAUGAGUGCAGUUUUCAAAUAAAAACAACCUUUUGUAAUUAUUUCCGUUCCUUUUAUUAUUAUUAUUAUUAUUA
rnacentral:misc_RNA from 1 species